GAUGAACGCUGGCGGCGUGCCUAAUACAUGCAAGUCGAGCGAACGGACGAGAAGCUUGCUUCUCUGAUGUUAGCGGCGGACGGGUGAGUAACACGUGGAGAACCUACCUAUAAGACUGGGAUAACUUCGGGAAACCGGAGCGAAUACCGGAUAAUAUUUUGAACCGCAUGGUUCAAAAGUGAAAGACGGUCUUGCUGUCACUUAUAUAUGGAUCCGCGCUGCAUUAGCUAGUUGGUAAGGUAACGGCUUACCAAGGCAACGAUGCAUAGACGACCUGAGAGGGUGAUCGGCCAAACUGGAACUGAGACACGGUCCAGACUACUGCGGGAGGCAGCAGUAGGGAAUCUUCCGCAAUGGGCGAAAGCCUGACGGAGCAACGCCGCGUGAGUGAUGAAGGUCUUCGGAUCGUAAAAAUCUGUUAUUAGGGAAGAACAUAUGUGUAAGUAACUGUGCACAUCUUGACGGUACCUAAUCAGAAAGCCACGGCUAACUAC
rnacentral:rRNA from 1 species